CGCAGGCCCGCGCGGCGCGCCCUGCCGUGAGUCCGCGCCCGACCACCUCGAGGGGCCGCACAGCCGGCUCGCCUAAGCCCUCGGUCCGCGGUCACCUGAACUUCACCUGCCUGUGCGGCGGGAGGGAGUCUCGCAGAGGCUCCUCCUCCGCAGCCCGGCUCCCCGCCGCUCGGCUUCAUCUCCCGCCAGUAGUUUCUGUCCCCUCCCUCUUUCAACUCUCGGACGCCGGGGGUGUCAGGCCGCGGCCCGGCCCCGGCGUACGGCCAGGUGGAGGCGGCUCGGGCGAGCAUAGCGUGGCUAGGAAGUGGCCAUGCCUUGGCGCACCCUGGCUGUCCCGCCUAGGCCUCCAAGAACCCGGGUUUUCUGAAGAGACUCGGGGACCACCGCCCCUGCGGGAGGAGCGCAGCGUUGGCUGGCGAGCUGGCCAAUGGGAGGCGAGGACUGCAGCACAACGUGGAGCGGCUGCAGAACGUAAACACAGCCGGGCGCGCGGCUGGCCAUGUGUGUUCCCGCGCGCCACCUAGUCCCCUGGGACCACCGGCAGCCGGCUGUGGCACCCCAGGGCAGCCAUGCUCAGGGAUGCCUGUCGUGCACUUUGCUCCAGCCCGCCGACCGAGGUACCUGGUCACUGGUCAACUGGGACUAAAAAGAACAUGUGCUUACCUUUCAGAUGGAGGGAACUUCCCAUCUUGCUCUGGCUAGUUGUAUGACAGUGUGAGCUUUGGAGCUGUGGCAGCCAUCCUGUGACCAGGAGGGCACAAGCUGUGGAUGAAAGCCAAGGUACUGAAGAUGGCAGAGGAAGAAGAUGAAAAGUGAUUCAGUCCUUGAAGACAUCAUUAUGUCACUCUAGCUAUGCCACCCUAUGUUUGGAACUUUAUGUUGUAUGAAAUUAACACAUUUUCCUUAUUCCUUAAGCUGUUUUGAUUUGCUUAAUCCCUGGGUUAACAUCAGCCCAGAAAUCAGGAAAGAAAAUACAGCUGUCCUUCGUAUCUGUGUGGGAUUGGUUCAGGACCCUGCCACUCCCCCACCUCCCCAAUCACAGAUAACAAAAUCUGAGGAUGCUCAGAUUGUGUAUAACCUACACACAUCUUCCUGUGCACUUUAAAUCAUCUCUAGAUUCCUUAUAUUACCUAAUACAAUGUAAAUGCUGGUGCAUGGCAAAUUCAAUUUUUGCAUUUUGAAAUUUUCUGGAAUUUUUUUUCAAAUAUUUUUGCUCCACGGUUGGUUGAAUCUGUGGCUUCAGAACCGUGGAUAUGGAAGGCUGACUGUAAAUAACUCCCCAACUUAGAUUAUUUCUCCU